GGACUUGGACUUUGGUUUUUGAUCAUAAUGUGUGUUGCGACAAACGUACAAAUGAAAACGAAAUUGACGAACACGAAAUAAUCAAACCAUAAGCAGAAAUAAAAGAGAACACAUAGAUUUACAUAAAAAACUCUUUAUAGGAAAAAAUCACGGACGAAAAAGAAGAGAACUUCACUAUCGAAAAAAGAAAAAUACAAUGUUCGAGUACAAUUAACCACAAUCUGUAGCCUCAAGGACAAAAACGAAAAGAAAACUCUUAAUGGAUUUCAAACAUUAUUUUUUCUUCACAAUUUUAUUUUUUAAGUUGGUCGCACCAUGAAACUGUCGACGAGUCGAAAUUUCAAACUAAAGUCGAUUAUCAAUUUCGAAUCAUAUCUAACAAUGUGGUCGUAGACUCGUAGUUGGAUUUUAGUUAU
rnacentral:lncRNA from 1 species